AGGACUUUCCUUCGGGACAGAGGAGACAGGUGGUGCAUGGUUGUCGUCAGCUCGUGUCGUGAGAUGUUGGGUUAAGUCCCGCAACGAGCGCAACCCUUGAUCUUAGUUGCCAGCACUUCGGGUGGGCACUCUAGGAUGACUGCCGGUGACAAACCGGAGGAAGGUGGGGAUGACGUCAAAUCAUCAUGCCCCUUAUGACCUGGGCUACACACGUACUACAAUGGCCGGUACAACGGGUCGCGAAGUCGCGAGAUGGAGCCAAUCCCAUCAAAGCCGGUCUCAGUUCGGAUUGCAGGCUGCAACUCGCCUGCAUGAAGUCGGAAUUGCUAGUAAUCGCGGAUCAGCAUGCCGCGGUGAAUACGUUCCCGGGUCUUGAACAC
rnacentral:rRNA from 1 species